GGAACGAAAGCAUGGGUAGCGAAGAGGAUUAGAUACCCUCGUAGUCCAUGCCGUAAACGAUGUGUGUUAGACGUUGGAAAUUUAUUUUCAGUGUCGCAGGGAAACCGAUAAACACACCGCCUGGGGAGUACGACCGCAAGGUUAAAACUCAAAUGAAUUGACGGGGACCCGCACAAGUAGUGGAGCAUGUGGUUUAAUUCGAAGAUACGCGCAGAACCUUACCAACACUUGACAUGUUCGUCGCGACUCUAAGAGAUUAGAGUUUUCGGUUCGGCCGGACGAAACACAGGUGCUGCAUGGCUGUCGUCAGCUCGUGUCGUGAGAUGUUGGGUUAAGUCCCGCAACGAGCGCAACCCUCACUUUUAGUUGCCAUCAUUAAGUUGGGCACUCUGAAAGAACUGCCAGUGAUAAGCUGGAGGAAGGUGGGGAUGACGUCAAGUCCUCAUGGCCCUUACGUGUUGGGCUACACACGUGCUACAAUGGCAUCUACAACAGGAAGCAAAACGGCAACGUUAAGCAAAUCCCGAAAAGAUGCCUCAGUUCGGAUUGCACUCUGCAACUCGAGUGCAUGAAGCUGGAAUUACUAGUAAUCGUGGAUCAGCGUGCCACGGUGAAUGCGUUCCCGGGUCUUGUACACACCGCCCGUCACACCAUGGGAGUUGGUUCUACCUUAAGGCAAGGUUUCAAACCCUUGACCACGGUAUAGUCAGCGACUGGGGUGAAGUCGUAACAAGGUAGCCGUAGGGGAACCUGCGGCUG
rnacentral:rRNA from 1 species